GACGAACGCUGGCGGCGUGCCUAAUACAUGCAAGUAGAACGCUGAAGAGAGGAGCUUGCUCUUCUUGGAUGAGUUGCGAACGGGUGAGUAACGCGUAGGUAACCUGCCUUGUAGCGGGGGAUAACUAUUGGAAACGAUAGCUAAUACCGCAUAACAAUGGAUGACACAUGUCAUUUAUUUGAAAGGGGCAAUUGCUCCACUACAAGAUGGACCUGCGUUGUAUUAGCUAGUAGGUGAGGUAAUGGCUCACCUAGGCGACGAUACAUAGCCGACCUGAGAGGGUGAUGCGCCACUCUGGGAGUGAGACACGGCCCAGACUCACACGAGAGGCAGCAGUAGGAAAUCUUCGGAAAGGGGCGCAACCCUGAGCGAGAAACGGCGCGUGAGUGAAGAAGGUUUGCGGAUCGUAAAGCUGUGUUGUAAGUCAAGAACGGGUGUGAGAGUGAAAAGUACACUGUGACGGUAGCUUACCAGAAAGGGACGGCUAACUACGUG
rnacentral:rRNA from 1 species